rnacentral:rRNA from 1 species
GACGAACGCUGGCGGCGUGCUUAACACAUGCAAGUCGAACGGAAAGGCCCUGCAUCUGUGGGGUGCUCGAGUGGCGAACGGAUGAGUAACAAGCGAGUAACCUGCCCUUGACUUUGGGAUAACUUCAGGAAACUGGGGCUAAUACCGGAUAGGAGCUCCUGCUGCAUGGCGGGGGUUGGAAAGUUUCGGCGGUUGGGGAUGGACUCGCGGCUUAUCAGCUUGUUGGUGGGGUAGUGGCUUACCAAGGCUUUGACGGGUAGCCGGCCUGAGAGGGUGACCGGCCACAGUGGGACUGAGAUACGGCCCAGACUCCUACGGGAGGCAGCAGUGGGGGAUAGUGCACGAUGGGCGGAAGCCUGAUGCAGCAACGCCGCGUGCGGGAUGACGGCCUUCGGGUUGUAAACCGCUUUCGCCUGUGACGAAGCGGGAUUGACGGUAAUGGGUAAAGAAGCACCGGCUAACUACGUG